rnacentral:lncRNA from 1 species
ACCAAUACGAAUCAAAAUCAAGAACGGACUAUUGUCUCGAAGCAGUGGAGACCGUCGAGCUCCAGAGCAAACCUCGGAGUCUUCUGCACCAAACUUAUCUUAUUGCUUGCGUUUUCCUCCUUCUGCGUCUGCGUUUGCAGUACGGCAGGUUUGGGGUGGCGGUGGAGCUAGCGUUAAGCGAAGAAACCAUACUUGAUCUCGAGGUCAAGCUACAAGACGGACCAAUACGAAUCAAAAUCAAGAACGGACUAUUGUCUCGAAGCAGUGGAGACCGUCGAGCUCCAGAGCAAACCUCGGAGUCUUCUGCACCAAACUUAUCUUAUUGCUUGCGUUUUCCUCCUUCUGCGUCUGCGUUUGCAGUACGGCAGGUUUGGGGGUGGCGGUGGAGCUAGCGUUAAGCGAAGAAACCAUAAGGUUCUUUCCCAUAAGCUCUACGAAGAGGGCGUCGAAGGCACUGAACAUCGAGUUCAUGAUGUAAAGUAAGAUAAUAAACAAGACCAAGAGACUUUGAAGUUUC